UACGUAGGGUGCGAGCGUUGUCCGGAAUUAUUGGGCGUAAAGAGCUUGUAGGCGGUCUGUCGCGUCUGCUGUGAAAACUCGAGGCUCAACCUCGAGACGUCGGCGGAAACCAUCUGGCUAGAGUCCGGAAGAGGAGAGUGGAAUUCCUGGUGUAGCGGUGAAAUGCGCAGAUAUCAGGAGGAACACCGAUGGCGAAGGCAGCUCGCUGGGACGGUACUGACGCUGAGGCGCGAAAGCGUGGGGGAGCAAACAGG
rnacentral:rRNA from 1 species